rnacentral:lncRNA from 1 species
AUCCGUGUUUUUUUUCCCCAAAAUCCCGUUUUUCCCCCCGCAGGUGAAGGAUUUCGACGCCGUCUCGCGCCUGGAGCCGUGGCUGACGGCGCUGCUGCUGCGCAUCAAGAGGAGCAUCCCGGGCGAGGAGCAGGACCUGCGCUGACAGCGCCCCAAAACCGCCCAAAAACAGCCCAAAAACAGCCUGGAAACGCCCUGAAAAUACCCCAAAAAUACCCACAAAAAUACCCCAAAAUACGGCCAAAAACACCCCAAAAACAGCCCGGAAACGCCCCGAAAACACCCCAAAAAUACCCCAAAAACAGCCCAGAAACUGCCCAAAAAUACCCACAAAAACUGCCCAAAAAUACCCCAAAAUACGGCAAAAUAUACCCCAAAAACUGCCCAAAAAUACCACAAAAACAACCCAAAAACUGCCCAAAAAUACCCACAAAAAUACCCCCAAAACAGCCCAAAAACAGCCCGGAAACGCCCUGAAAAUACCCCAAAAAAUACCCCAAAAACAGCCCGAAAUCGCCCCCAAAAUACCCCAAAAAAUACCCCAAAAUACCCCAAAAUACGGCCAAAAACA